GACGAACGCUGGCGGCGUGCUUAACACAUGCAAGUCGAACGGAAAGGCCCUUCGGGGUACUCGAGUGGCGAACGGGUGAGUAACACGUGGGUGAUCUGCCCUGCACUUUGGGAUAAGCCUGGAAAAUGGGGCUAAUUACCGAAAAUGAUCAUGCCUUCCAGGGGGUGGGGUGGAAACCUUUUGCGGUGUGGGAUGGGCCCGCGGCCUAUCAGCUUGUGGGUGGGGUAAUGGCCAACCAAGGGGACGACGGGUGACCGGCCGGAGAGGGUGACCGGCCACACUGGGACUGAGAUAGGGCCCAGACUCCUACGGGAGGCAGAAGUGGGGAAUAUUGCACAAUAGGCGCAAGCCUGAUGCAGCGACGCCGCGUGAGUGAUGACGGCCUUCGGGUUGUAAACCUCUUUCAGCACAGCCGAAGCGCGAGUGACGGUAUGUGCAGAAGAAGGACCGGCCAACUACGUGCCAGCCGCCGCAGUAA
rnacentral:rRNA from 1 species